UGGCGGACGGGUGAGUAACGCGUGGAUAACCUGCCGUAUACAGGGGGAUAACACUUAGAAAUAGGUGCUAAUACCGCAUAAGCGCACGGUUCCGCAUGGAACAGUGUGAAAAACUCCGGUGGUAUACGAUGGAUCCGCGUCUGAUUAGCCAGUUGGCGGGGUAACGGCCCACCAAAGCGACGAUCAGUAGCCGGCCUGAGAGGGUGAACGGCUACAUUGGGACUGAGACACGGCCCAAACUCCUACGGAAGGCAGCAG
rnacentral:rRNA from 1 species